GAUGAACGCUAGCGGCAGGCUUAAUACAUGCAAGUCGAACGGGAUUGAGAAGCUUGCUUUUCAUGAGAGUGGCGCACGGGUGCGUAACACGUAUGCAACCUACCUUGUCCAGGGGGAUAGCCCGUUGAAAGACGGAUUAAGACCGCAUAACAUUGAGCUGUGGCAUCACAAAUCAAUCAAAUAUUUAUAGGGACAAGAUGGGCAUGCGCCUGAUUAGGUAGUUGGCGGGGUAAUGGCCCACCAAGCCGACGAUCAGUAGGGGAUCUGAGAGGAUGACCCCCCACACUGGUACUGAGACACGGACCAGACUCCUACGGGAGGCAGCAGUAAGGAAUAUUGGUCAAUGGGCGAAAGCCUGAACCAGCCAUGCCGCGUGUCUGAAGAAGGCCUUCGGGUUGUAAAGGACUUUUGUCAGGGAGGAAAUCCCUAGUGCUAAUAACACUGGGGGAUGACAGUACCUGAAGAAUAAGCACCGGCUAACUACGUGCCAGCAGCCGCCGUAA
rnacentral:rRNA from 1 species